UAGGGAUUCUUCCACAAUGGACGCAAGUCUGAUGGAGCAACGCCGCGUGAGUGAAGAAGGUUUUCGGAUCGUAAAGCUCUGUUGUUGGUGAAGAAGGAUAGAGGUAGUAACUGGCCUUUAUUUGACGGUAAUCAACCAGAAAGUCACGGCUAACUACGUGCCAGCAGCCGCGGUAAUACGUAGGUGGCAAGCGUUGUCCGGAUUUAUUGGGCGUAAAGCGAGCGCAGGCGGAAGAAUAAGUCUGAUGUGAAAGCCCUCGGCUUAACCGAGGAACUGCAUCGGAAACUGUUUUUCUUGAGUGCAGAAGAGGAGAGUGGAAUUCCAUGUGUAGCGGUGGAAUGCGUAGAUAUAUGGAAGAACACCAGUGGCGAAGGCGACUCUCUGGUCUGCAACUGACGCUGAGGCUCGAAAGCAUGGGUAGCGAACAGG
rnacentral:rRNA from 1 species